ACGCAAACGGCCACACUGAGAGGAAUACACGGACUAUCUGCCCAGAAAUCUGAAGGCUGUGGGCUGAGAAAGAGAAAGAAGACGACCGAAUUACUUGAACAGAGUCUGGAAAGGGAUGAAGAAGUGAAGGAGUUCCGGCUGAUGAACCUGAAGACAGCUUUCUAGUGUCAAACUCAUCACGGAGUCUGCACAGGCAUCAUUAAGUGAAGGUCAAAGAUGAGCUUGCAGAGGAAAUGUCGCCACACAAGGGACCUGAUGUCUGAAUAAGAGAAGUGGAAGCGGAAGUGGGGGAAAUUGGGGGAAGAGAAGACGGAGGACGGGGUUGUGACUCCUAUUGCUAAUGGAUUUGGGUCAGAUGACGAGGAUAUGAUCUGCUCGGGACUGUGGGUGUUUGUGUGCGUGAGCUCACAUGUACGUGUGGAGUGCAUGGGCUUGUGAUGUCAUUAGCAGUCGAGCCAAAAUAUGAUGAUCUCGGGGUAUUAUCGGUAUCUGUUUAAGGUAUCCGGCUUUAUCAAAUACCUACUUGACACUGGAGUCACCACCAUGUUUUAUCAUUCUGUCUUUAGCUGACUCUCUCGCUUUCACACACACACUCACACACUCAAUAAUCCAUUCAGUCAUUGUUAAUCCAGCUGUGUGCUGGUACAGAGAUGUGCUGUACAUGGCUGACAACCAUGUCGCUGAGGUACUGAUGUCAUACCUGUCUGUGUUUUUUUUUUUUUCUUUAGUCACUGCUGUUGUGGCAAGUACAUCUGAAUCUAUCAAGGGGAAUAAACCUUGUA